rnacentral:rRNA from 1 species
GUGGGGAAUAUUGGGCAAUGGGGGAAACCCUGACCCAGCGACGCCGCGUGAGGGAAGACGGCCUUCGGGUUGUAAACCUCUUUUGUACGGGAAGAAGGAAGUGACGGUACUGUACGAAUAAGUCCCGGCUAACUACGUGCCAGCAGCCGCGGUAAUACGUAGGGGACGAGCGUUGUCCGGAAUUACUGGGCGUAAAGGGCGCGCAGGCUGUGCUGCAAGUCAGCUGUGAAAUGUCUGGGCUUAACCCGGGCAUGCGGUUGAGACUGCAGUGCUGGAGUGCUGUAGAGGCAAGUGGAAUUCCCAGUGUAGCGGUGAAAUGCGUAGAUAUUGGGAAGAACACCGGUGGCGAAGGCGACUUGCUGGGCAGCAACUGACGCUGAGGCGCGAAAGCGUGGGGAGCAAACAGGAUUAGAAACCCCUGUAGUCC